rnacentral:lncRNA from 1 species
AUAUGUCAGAAGGAGGAUCAUCUGCUGUGGGUGUUCCUGAUCUUUGAGCCAUGAUAAUGUUACUGGUUGGAUGUCAGGAGCAGGCCAUGUGGAUGAUUAAAAGAUGAAUAUCAUAUACAGCAUGGAUAUGUUGGACAAAAAGAUGAUUCACAUCCCAGACAGAAUGGAGCAGCACAUUUAUUAAAAGCCAGAAGCUAGAAGACGAGGAAAGAAGAGGUGGUUAAAGAAAGAUACAGUAACAGCAGUAAUAUCUAACAGGAAGGCUACAGGGGAAAAUACAGAAAUUCCAUAAAGAACAAACACUGUAACUCAAAACCAAAGCUUUGCUAGUCACUAGUGCCCGCUACAUCCUAACAGAUGCAGCUGGAGAGCCUGGGGUGAGAACAUGAGCAGUCUAUAAUCAGAAAAUCCCUUUGGGAUAAAUUGACAAAAAUAUAAACCACUCCACAAAGGAGAAAUUGUAAAUGAGUUGUUAUGUAAAACCUCCCAGCGAAAGAAAUAGUCCAGAAAGCUUGAAGAGAAACUGAAAUUUGAAAAAUCUACCUAAAAAGGUGAUAAAGGAUUUUCAGUUUUGCAAAAAACGCAAUACAGAGUGUCUUUGGAAAGAAAGUUCUCAUAUGGAUUUAAAAUAUGAUUCAAUUUACAGAAGUCAGAGUUGUUCUUCCAGAUGGCAUGAAUCCAACAGUGAAGAAAUCAGAAUACGUUGCUUUUGUGAGGGGCAGCUGCUGAUUUUCUCUGAGCUCCGUUUCCAGCCUUCACAUGCUCUGCUAUUCAUCACAGGGUAAAUUCUGACUAUAGGAGGUACUGACAGAAGAUUAGGGAAGAACAGAGGGCUAAAUGUUUAUUGACUUCUUGAAAAAUGCUAUGUGUCUUGCCAGACUUAGCUUACAAGUUUGGUUAAAGAGAGACUGACAUGAGCAUAAAGGAAGGGACAUUGAAAGAGGCAGAGAUGAAGGAAGAAAUUGUAACUUACUCCUUUUAUCCCACCCAUCAAAGGAAAGACAAGUUGACAAGUAUUGAUUCUGCAACAAACUGAGAAGAAACCUGGCGAUUCACAACAGAGAGCUGAGAAAUCCUAAGUCUGGAUUCCAGCUAAAUGGGAGCAGACUAAAUAGAGCGGCAGUCGGCGAACUACAUGUAGCCCAUGAACAAAAUCCGGUCCAGCACGUGUGUUUUUUUUUACGGCCCACAAAUGAGUCUGUCUUUACAGAUGAAUGUUAAAACUGGGUUGACAAGAGAGAACACUCACUUUGAACCGCAACUAAACAAAAUAUUAUCACCUUUCCCCUCAAAAAAGGUUUUUGUUCUUCUCAUUAGUAAAUUUGUAUUAUGACAAAA